GAUGAACGCUGGCGGCGUGCCUAAUACAUGCCAGUCGAGCGAACAGAUGAGGAGCUUGCUCCUCUGACGUUAGCGGCGGACGGGUGAGUAACACGUGGAUAACCUACCUAUAAGACUGGGAUAACUUCGGGAAACCGGAGCUAAUACCGGAUAAUAUAUUGAACCGCAUGGUUCAAUAGUGAAAGACGGUUUUGCUGUCACUUAUAGAUGGAUCCGCGCCGCAUUAGCUAGUUGGUAAGGUAACGGCUUACCAAGGCAACGAUGGGUAGCCGACCUGAGAGGGUGAUCGGCCACAUUGGAACUGAGACACGGUCCAGACUCCUACGGGAGGCAGCAGUAGGGAAUCUUCCGCAAUGGGCGAAAGCCUGACGGAGCAACGCCGCGUGAGUGAUGAAGGUCUUCGGAUCGUAAAACUCUGUUAUUAGGGAAGAACAAAUGUGUAAGUAACUAUGCACGUCUUGACGGUACCUAAUCAGAAAGCCACGGCUAACUACGUG
rnacentral:rRNA from 1 species